UACGAGGGCCUCAAGCGUUAUCCGGAAUCAUUGGGCGUAAAGGAUGUGUAGGUGGUUGUGUUAGUCUCUUGUUAAAUUCUUCGGCUUAACCGGGGGCAUGCAAGGGAAACGGCACAACUAGAGGAUGCGAGGGGUCUGCGGAACUCAUAGUGUAGCGGUGAAAUGCGUUGAUAUUAUGGGGAACACCAAAAGCGAAGGCAGCAGACUGGAGCACUCCUGACACUGAAACAUGAAAGCGUGGGUCGCGAAUGGG
rnacentral:rRNA from 1 species